CCACCCCCGCCCCUGCCCACAAGUUCCGGUUCUCUCAGGUGGUAUGAGCGCCCUAAUGAGAGCACCAGAGAGAAGGCAGCUAAUGAAGGAUAUACAGAAACACCCAGGGCUCCUAGGCCUCUCUCCUUCUCUACUCUGUGGCCGAAGUCCUCCAAGCUUCAGUUUCCAGCUUGCGUGACCUUAUGGGUGUCUAAACUCUGUCUCUAAGAAACAGCAAAGAAAACGGCUGCAUUUGACGUUGCACGAGUUCCAGAAGGUUCUCUCGGGAUUCGAGCGUUGGCCAGUCCGUCCCACCUUCACAAGCCGGAGAUUGGACUAAUACAGUUGCUCCCCACCUCGCUCUCGGGUCUGAAUCUCACAGACAGACCAAUAAAAUCAAAGGGCGCUUG